UAUUGGCCAAUGGGCGAAAGCCUGAUCCAGCCAUGCCGCGUGAGUGACGAAGGUCUUCGGAUUGUAAAGCUCUUUUGGCGGGGACGAUAAUGACGGUACCCGCAGAAUAAGCCCCGGCUAACUUCGUGCCAGCAGCCGCGGUAAUACGAAGGGGGCUAGCGUUGUUCGGAAUUACUGGGCGUAAAGCGCACGUAGGCGGAUUUGUAAGUCAGGGGUGAAAUCCCGGGGCUCAACCUCGGAACUGCCUUUGAUACUGCAAGUCUCGAGACCGGAAGAGGUGAGUGGAAUUCCUAGUGUAGAGGUGAAAUUCGUAGAUAUUAGGAAGAACACCAGGGCGAAGACAGCUCAAUCACCUACUCUGACGCUGAGUCGAGGAG
rnacentral:rRNA from 1 species